GAUGAACGCUGGCGGCGUGCCUAAUACAUGCAAGUCGAGCGAACGGACGAGAAGCUUGCUUCUCUGAUGUUAGCGGCGGACGGGUGAGUAACACGUGGAUAACCUACCUAUAAGACUGGGAUAACUUCGGGAAACCGGAGCUAAUACCGGAUAAUAUUUUGAACCGCAUGGUUCAAAAGUGAAAGACGGUCUUGCUGUCACUUAUAGAUGGAUCCGCGCUGCAUUAGCUAGUUGGUAAGGUAACGGCCUACCAAGGCAACGAUGCAUAGCCGACCUGAGAGGGUGAUCGGCCACACUGGAACUGAGACACGGUCCAGACGCCUACGGGAGGCAGCAGUAGGGAAUCUUCCGCAAUGGGCGAAAGCCUGACGGAGCAACGCCGCGUGAGUGAUGAAGGUCUUCGGAUCGUAAAACUCUGUUAUUAGGGAAGAACAUAUGUGUAAGUAACUGUGCACAUCUUGACGGUACCUAAUCAGAAAGCCACGGCUAACUACGUG
rnacentral:rRNA from 1 species